GCCUACAGAAUACAGCCCCAGGAAGAAAUCAAAUUAUGGAAUGUUAAGAUAACAUUGUGCACAAGACAUUAAUCCAGAUCAACAAGGUGUCUCAAAUUAUCAGAACCUGCAAGCAAAUGAGUAACAUUGAGGGAAAACAUGGGUUUGGAAAAGAAAAAAA